UACGUAGGGGGCCAGCGUUGUUCGGAAUUACUGGGUGUAAAGGGUUCGUAGGCGGUGCGGCAAGUUGGGAGUGAAAUCUCUGGGCUUAACCCAGAGGCUGCUUCCAAAACUGCUGUGCUUGAGUGUGGGAGAGGCGCGUGGAAUUGCAGGUGUAGCGGUGAAAUGCGUAGAUAUCUGCAGGAACACGCGUGGCGAAAGCGGCGCGCUGGACCACUACUGACGCUGAGGAACGAAAGCUAGGGGAGCAAACAGG
rnacentral:rRNA from 1 species